UUUUUUUCUAUUACAUAUUUAUUCUUUUAAACUAAUACAUUUGUUAAAUGUUAUUAAAAAUAAAAAGUAUUUAUUACAAAAUUGCGCAUUUUCUCAAGGACAAUUCGCAUUAUGGACGUAGAUUGUUGGCCAGGAUACGGGCCAGCAGGACCACACACUCGCCUGCCAGCUGAUAAAUAUCACCCUCUGCGAAAGAGACGGGCAAAUGGGGCAGAAAGAGAGAGCGCCUUGGCUUCGGUAGGGCGCUUCCAAGGAAUGCCAAACGGAAUGCUGCUGAAGUCAACCCGAGGGCAGUGCACAUGUCCUGGGCCCAAGUGUUUUAAUUAUAAAAAUGAGAUAUCGCAGGACUGCCGCGCAGACAUCUUCGAUAUAGCAGGGUGUCCUCCAACCCUCGGCAUUGUUGGCCAAACUAUGCGAAACGCGUGUCAGUUGCACGAGCCUUCUGUUUGCCCACGAGGGCAGCAAAAAACGAGCCGCGAAAACAGCCGGAAGGAAGCGCAUGUUGACUGAGUCCUUGUUCUCGCCCUCAAUUUCUGGCUCGUUACUAUCACCGUUCCCUGACUUAUCGGACCCAAAUACAGGGAAUCUUAUCACAGACAGUUUGAAUGCAAAGCCCGCCAAGGAGCAACCCUGGGGUUAGGGUUCCAAAUAGAAGGACUGCUCACGGAACUUCUAACUUCAUCCAGCACAUGGUAUUUACUCAUUAAUGCCCUGCAUUCAUGCAUGGAACUCGCGAUGGGUCGUUGAUAGCACCCAGCAGAUAAUGGUACACGCAAAAAAUACUUUAAAAAUGUUAUAUUUAAAAAAAGAUAUAUUUCACACAAUUCACACAUGUGUAGUCAUGUCAUGAUUUCCUGCCUCACCCAAUUUAAAUCCUUUUCAAAGAUCUCAUCUCGGAAACCUUAUUAAUUAUAGCCCAGAAACUCAUCGCUUUGUGAACUACAAAGCUACUACAACAGAAAAUAAAUUCAAAUGAAGUUCCCAA